rnacentral:rRNA from 1 species
CACGUAGGGCGCGAGCGUUGUCCGGAAUUAUUGGGCGUAAAGAGCUCGUAGGCGGCCUGUUGCGUCCGCUGUGAAAGCCCGGGGCUUAACCCCGGGUCGGCAGUGGAUACUGGCAGGCUAGAGGUAGGUAGGGGAGAAUGGAAUUCCCGGUGUAGCGGUGAAAUGCGCAGAUAUCAGGAGGAACACCGAUGGCGAAGGCGGGUCUCUGGGCCGAUACUGACGCUGAGGAGCGAAAGCGUGGGGAGCGAACAGG